rnacentral:lncRNA from 1 species
CACCAGGAGAUGGCAGCUUCCUACUGUUUUAAAUGGGACACUUCGUUGGGGGCGGGGCGGGGGGGGGGAACCCUUUAGCAGUGGCACAGUUCCAGUUGGCAGACUAGAGGAUGACCGCGCGAUGUGAAUUUUUAAUUUAAAAAACAAGAAUUACAUUUUUAAAGCUUUCCCGAAAUUCUCGGAACUCCUCUCCGGUAAUCAGGUUUCAGUUCAAGGACUUUGCCUUCUUCUGCCUCUUCCCCUACAAAUAGGGCAUCAGACUCGGGGAGAAUGAGAGUUUGGGUUGUUUUUUUUUUCAUUUUGGGAUUUUGCAUUGAUUCAUCCAGGCCUCUUCUCCAGGGCCUUUCUAGUGAUUAUCCUAAAGCAGUUGGGUUCUUGGGGUCCCCUGCAAAGGUAACCACACAGUCUCCUUGUUCUGAGGAUCCUUCUGGAAAGGAAGCUCCAGAGGGAAUUCUAGUUGAGUUUGUGGCCAAAUCAUGUUUUUUCCUGAGACAUCAAUCAUAGAUAUUUUGAAGUCAUUCUCUUCUCCUGCAUCUGUGUCUUGAACGUCCCAGCCAAUAUGAUAUCAUUAAGGCAGGUUGUUUUCUGUUUUUGUUUUCUUUCCCAUUUUUCCAGUCUACUUCUUGACAUCAAGCUUGAUGUUGGAACUAGGCGCUGCCACACUUCUGGAGGGAAGGCUUAGGCUGGUUCUGCUUUUUGGGGCAUAUUUCAUGGUGUUAUUAGAGGAUCUCAGGGACCAGCUGGAGACUCACAAGCUUUCUCUACUUGCAGAGUGGUCUGAUCCAGGGUAAAGUUUGACUGCUGGUCCCCUGAUCUGAGCUCUCCAAGUUCUUGACCUGGAUUUGGGUCUCUCUCAUUGGCCAUCUAGCAAGUUCUGUUGGAUUGAACCUUUGAAGGGGGGCUGAAUUAAAGGUUUCCUUUUGGUCUGGGAUUCUUGCCUUGGCAAUAUAUUCUUCCAUAGGCUGGGCUACAUGCUAGAAGUGAGACCCUGCUCUCUGCCUUGAAUCUGAGACAUACCAUUGCUGCUGCUGGCCUCUGAAUGUCUUCCUUUCUCUGAACAUCACCCAAGGCCUCUUUACCAGGGAUGCUAUGUAUGUCUCUUUCUCAGUCCACCUUGGAUCUGUGAGUGGUAACUGAGAAGUGGGUAAUAGAGCUGCCAGUCUGUACCUGUCCUCUGUAAGAGAGGAGUGAUCCAAUUUGGGCAAGGAGCAAUUUCUGACAGAAAUCAGAUGCAGAGAGAGAGCAGGGGAGGUGCAAGAAGGAAGAAAAAAGCCUGAAAGUUCCAGGAGGGAAUCUGAAGGUGGGGAAACUCCAACUGAUCACUCUCUUCACCUCACUUCCAGCUGGGAGCCAGAGAGAAGCAGAGGCCCCUGAGAUCCUGUUAUAACACCACUAAAUAUGCCCCAAAAAGCAGAACCAGCCUAAACCUUCCCUCCAGAUGUGUGGCAGAGUCCAGUUCCAACAUCAAGCUUGAUGUCUCUGGGUCUAGGAAGAAGCGUGAGUCUCUCUGGAGAUCAAUUGUUUCCCUGUGAACCCCUGGAUAUCUCUCACUCAGCUCUCAACAACAGCACAGAGCCAUCAGUGACUAUUGUGGACAGAGACUUGGAGGAAGCCGUCCACUGAGAUCCCCUUUUCAAGGAUCUCAUUCUCCAUCUCUCUCCCUAACUUGUUCCUGGGCUCCAGUACUCAAGCUAGUUAGCUCAGGAGUAGGGACCAAACCAGCAGCUGGCCAGAAGAGGGAUCAAAGCCAAGAGCCUUGAACCCCAAGACCUUGAUGUAAUGGAGAAGGUUUCUGGGGUGGUAAAAGAAACAGGAUCUAGGAAAGACAGCUGAUGUUUAGGUUGGCUCAGAGAGAGAGAAAGGGGUUUGAUUAGUUUUCCUCCUCCUCCUCCUCUUCCCCCUUCCCCUCCCCCUCCUCCCUCUCCUCCUCCUCCUCCUCCACUUCACUACUAGAGGCAAAAUGUUUCCCUCCCUUUUUAAGCUGUUUCACUCACACUUGAUUCAGUUUGGGAAAGGAUAACCAUUUUAAUGUAAAUUAAUUCAGUUAGGGUAAUACAAAGGAAUGGUUGUCUGGAAAAAGAAUGGCAAAGGAAAGUGAUGAAAAGGGGGUCCCUCUCUCCAAGUAACCCCCUUUCCCUCCCUCCUCAAGUUUGGGGAGAACUCAGGCUUUGGCAGCCUGAGCCCCCUGAGAGAUAGUUAGGUUGACUGACCCUAAGUUUGGCCCCUUGGCCACAGUUCAGACCCAGGGCACCUGGAGCUGAAGUAAAGUCUGACAGAGACUCAAAAAUGCCUUUCUCAGGUUUCUCCUCAGUAGUCUUUUCAAUUGGGAAAUGUUGGGGGGAAGGAUUUCCAGUCAAAAACAGGAAAAAGGUGGGUGACCUUCAGGAGAAAGUCUUAACCAGCCCUUUCUCUUCAGCUUCUGAAGACUGAGAGACUAGCUGCUCUUCAGAAGGAACCUUCUGGCUUCUCAAGAUUCCAGCCUCCUGGGGCCCCUCCCUCGACAAGGAGAAAGAUUCAGCCUGGCACUUUUCUUAAGUGCCAGCCUCUGUCAUAUUGGGGGGGGCAAUCUGCCAGAGGGGACAAGUCAAUAAGACUUACUGCUCACCUACUUCCCUUGCCUGACACCCAUACCUCUCCUUCCCCGUGUGAACCCAAAUAAAUUGUCUACUACUUUAGAAUUAGGUCUGGCU